rnacentral:lncRNA from 1 species
CUCCUUCUCCCUCAAACUCUCUCCGAGACUCUCAUGAACCCUAGCCGCUGCCCUCUUACCCCACCUUAAUACCUACCUAAUCCAUGGCCCUCCAUGGUCAUUUGAGGCCUAUACCAACCUCACAUAGCUCCUAUGUGUUUGAUUCUAUGGUUUCAUGACCAGAUCUCAAAGGAGUCUGGUCCAGUCCUUGCUCGACUGUUGUUCAUGGCCUUUAUCAAGCCAUCCACGACCUUUUCCGUCCAUUCAUGGCCUUUCAAGGCAUGUCCUUG